CCUGGCUCAGAACGAACGCUGGCGGCGUGGAUAAGACAUGCAAGUCGAACGAGAUUUUCUUUGGUAGCAAUACCGAAGAAAGUCUAGUGGCGAACGGGUGCGUAACACGUGGGCAAUCUGCCUUAAAGUGGGGGAUAGCUCGGCGAAAGCCGAAUUAAUACCGCAUGUGAUCAGAGGGGACAUCCCUUCGAAAUCAAAGUCGGGGCAACCUGACGCUUUUUGAGGAGCCCGCGGCCUAUCAGCUAGUUGGUGAGGUAAUGGCUCACCAAGGCUCUGACGGGUAGCUGGUCUGAGAGGACGACCAGUCACACUGGAACUGAGACACGGUCCAGACACCUACGGGUGGCAGCAGUCGAGAAUUUUUCUCAAUGGGGGAAACCCUGAAGGAGCGACGCCGCGUGGAGGAUGAAGGUCUUCGGGUUGUAAACUCCUGUCAUUUGGGAACAAGUUGGACGCCGUAACUGCGCGUCCAUUGAUAGUACCAGAAGAGGAAGGGACGGCUAACUCUGUGCCAGCAGCCGCGGUAAUACAGAGGUCUCAAGCGUUGUUCGGAUUCAUUGGGCGUAAAGGGUGUGUAGGUGGCGCGCUAAGUCGGGUGUGAAAUUUCGGAGCUUAACUCCGAAACUGCAUUCGAUACUGGCGUGCUUG
rnacentral:rRNA from 1 species